UACGUAGGGUGCAAGCGUUGUCCGGAAUUAUUGGGCGUAAAGAGCUCGUAGGCGGCUAGUCGCGUCGGCUGUGAAAACCUGGGGCUCAACCCCGGGCCUGCAGACGAUACGGGCUAGCUAGAAUUCGGUAGGGGAGACUGGAAUUCCUGGUGUAGCGGUGGAAUGCGCAGAUAUCAGGAGGAACACCGGUGGCGAAGGCGGGUCUCUGGGCCGUUACUGACGCUGAGGAGCGAAAGCGUGGGGAGCGAACAGG
rnacentral:rRNA from 1 species